GUAACCCAGCCUGUUGGCUAUAAACGCUGUUAGAACAAGGGCUCUGGAUAGAAGAACACAGAUGCCUUCACACUCAACCACAACAACAGAUGCAUUGUUUUGUUAUGAAGAUGUCUAAUGGAAAACGAUGGAUAUCCCUAAAAUCAGCCCAUUUUUCUAAGCUAGCAACAGGCCAAGAAUCACCAUAGUAACUGCAUGGCAUGAUAAUGUCACAUACCACAAGGCUGCAACUGGUCAGGAAUGGUCCCACAAACAUGACAACCCCAGCAAACUACUGCCUUCCCUGUCAGCACAUCUCAUUAAAUAAGCAGCAGACUGGUGUAAGCAGAAAUACCACCCUUCAAAUGGAAGGCCUAGGAUCCAACUUGUUUACAGUAAAUGUCUCUGAUAAAGACAGAACCCCAGUAAUCCAUAGCAGCUAUGAAGGAACCCCUCUGUCCUCCCUGUGAAGGCAGAAAAACAGAAUCAAAAGAUCACUUUUGAUUAGUAAAAUAACCAAAAUGGGAUUAGAUAGAAAUUUAAUGAACAUGAGAUUAAACUUGUAUAAUAUGAGUAGCCAGCAUGUUUUCAUUUUUCACUUUUUUGUCACCUGUUAUGAUCUGCACAGCAUUCAACUAAGCCUGUUUUGAGG